GCAGAGUAACUUUUCUUCUGCAAACACGCAUGUUUCUCCUUGCUCAGGUUUGCAGCGUACGAUGGAAAUGAGCAAUAAGACGACGGAUGCAAUUAAGAAUGACAAAUCAUCAAAGCAAGCAGCAUCAGCCAAACCACACCCAAGAUAUUGUCCUCCUACAAGGAACAACCCUAGUAAG